rnacentral:lncRNA from 1 species
UCUCCGCAGGACCGCAACAUCCUUGUCUUCUCUCCGGCGGUGAUCAAGAAUCUCUAUCAGCAUCAAAAGACCAAAUCCACGUCCCAUAAAAAUUUUCACCACUCACUUGAAACCGCAACCUUAGCCAUCCAGUCAAAACUCUCGAUUCAGUUUCCAUUGGAGCGGAAUUCGGGAGCUUUUGGAGAAAUAAAAUUUCUAAUUAUUUAGUUUUGUUCUCAAUCAUAGAUAUACCUUCCCCCUCUUGUUGUUGAAUCUUGACUUCAGGGGGUGCUGCGUUUGCUAGUUGGAUUUGUAAGCAGGGGACUCUGAAAAUGGUGGAUUUGGGUGGACUGAGAAAAAGGUGAAGUUGAAGCUUCAUAACAAAUCCAUGGUCGUGUUCACCAUAGAGAUGCAUCGUGAGGGAGAGAGUUCUCAGCAGUGGAAGAAUAUUGACAAGAAGGCUAACAGAAAAUCUCGAUUGCCGCCGGUGAAGAAGGCAAGAAUGUUGAAGAGAAAGAGAGAGUGAUAAAAUUGAGAGAAAGACUCAUCUCAGCCGCACAUUUUACAUAAAUGGCUAAGAUGAUUUAAUCCCAAGUAUCCCCAAGGAUGGAGCCGAAGAGAAUCCUAACUUGGACAAUGGAAGUAUUGACAUAAUUUUGUAGAGUCACAAAUUGUCUUGCUGCUCAAGACUCUCUUUUUAACUUAGUGUGUUUCUGGUUUAAACUCUUCUCCCUCUUCUUAAUGUAAUGUAGAACAUCAUUUGUACUCGAAAAAAAAAAACUUCAUAGAGUCAUAUUAUCAUACGGGAGUGAGGUGUGUUGAUGCACAAAAUCAGUGAGGACUUUGGUACAACAGAAAGUGUUAGGUUUGUGACCUUCGCUUGGUUGCUUCGAUCACUAGUGAAGAUAAGUAUGUAAAUGAAUAAGGACAGGGAAGCAAACACAAGAUGUACAUGGUUCACCCAGAUCGGCUACGUCCACGGAGCAGAGGAGUUCUCAUUAAUUGUGAAGGGUUUACACAAAUACAUAGGUUCAAGCUCUCAUUUUGUGAGUUCUAGUGAAUAGUUUAGUACAAAAUGACAUUAGAGAUUAUUGUGGGAGAAUGAUCCCUAUUUAUAGAGGAGAGUUUCUAGUUUUGUUCUAACAUUGACACGUGUUGUGUUGUGAUUGGCUUCUGAUGUUGACACGUGUCGAGCUGUGAUUGGCUUCUGAUGUCGACACAUGUCGUAUUAUGAUUGGCCUCCUGGUUGAAGGGAAGCUCUUAUGGGUCCUUGAUGGUAUAACGUUGACCGGUGCUCAGUAGUUUCGGGAUUGGUCAAGUAUGGUACAAACAGUGCUCCCCUAAGUUCCCGAGUGGGGGAAGCUCCUCGGUUGGGGACUUGCAAGAUCCAAGCCAUUGAGUAAUCACGAAACUUCUAAGUACUGAAGUGUGGUAUCAUUUUCACGUGCCUUAUCUGUCUCAUAUGUAGAUGUGGCAUCUUCUCUGGAAGUACUUUUCCUCCAUCCAUGGGUGGUAUCUUUAACCGAUGAAGAUGCACAAGGUAAUGUAUCAAUUUCACUUGAAGCUUACUUGUAGUUUCGGGCUUGGUCAAGUGCGAUACAAACCCUAUAGUAGGAGUCCCCCAAGUCGCCGAGCUAGGAGAUCUGCCGAAAGAGGUGACAGACAAGGUAAACAGUCAAACUUCCAAGCAAGCAACCCAGGAUCGGAGGUUCGACUUUGGCUUCCGGUUGAUUGUUCUCUUUCUCUUUGUCUCUCAUUCAACUGCCAGGAUAAGGAGAAGCAAAUGGAGAAGAUAUGAUAUGAGAUACUUUUGCUUUUGAAGAAGUAACUUUCCACAGGCUUAUUCUUGAACUGUGCUGGAGGGUUUUCUGGUUCCCUUCAGAGUAUAAGGCCGACUCAAGAAUUUGAGGGUCAAAACAAGUCCAUUAAAUCUAGAGUACGUUCGACCUUGAUGAUAUGGGAUACUUUUGCUGUUGACGGAAUAAUGAAUGUGGUAUGGAAAGGUGUCGUGCUGUAGUGAUCUGUUUCAGCUCACCGUUGAACCUUCUGCUUCAAUCUUUUGCAUGGCAGAAGUGGUGUGCAACCUUUGCAUUUAAAUGGUCCUUCAGAACAUUCCUUCAUAGUGACUCAUCCACGCUUGGCAGCUUCAGUGUAAAGAGCCAAUAUCUGAUCAACUGUCAUGAGGUAUGUGCCGGUGGAAUUCAUGACCUUGAUAGCAGUUGAGGAUGAGUUCUCGAGAGCAAUGCUAAGUAAGCAACCAGGCAAAGGUCUUAAGCAGUCAGUUCCAGAUUGGAGGUUUGAUUUUAGGUUCCGACUGACUGCUUUCUUUCUCUUUGUCCUGCAGGUGUGGACAAGGACGAAGACAAGGACAUGGAGAAAGUAUGAUAUGGGAUACUUUUGCUUUCGACCCUGAUGAUAUGAGAUACUCUUGUUCUUGGUGUGGCUUAUUUGCUGAGGUAUUAUCGGGGGGAAAUAAAGCUGAGUAUUUCGAGAGGUUAUGUUGAGGGUGCAUUCUCGAAUGCGAGAAAGGGUUGAGCAUUUUUGCAGGUUUGCCUGUCCGUUGAGGAGGGAGGUCGAUGUAUAUAGGGAUUUCCCAAUAACAAGUAGUAAUGCUAUUCCUUUACCCUUCUUGGUCACAACAAUGUAGUGGGAGCUGCCAGCUUCAAGUGUUUUAACUUUGUCAGAGCACUUUGAAAAAGUGGUAUGUGGUAUCUGGAAAGCUGAUGUUGCGUGUGAAGAUUACAGACAAGCUUUAUCUAAGGAAAUCUGGCUCUCGAAGUUCUGAGAGCUGUGCCUCUUCGGUUUUCGAACAAGCAAUCCCGUCGGGGAUCUGGCUCUCAAGAUUCGGAAAGCGGUGCCGCUUCAGUUUUUGAGAAAGUAAUUAUGUUGGGAGUCUUUUCUCGAAUAUGAGUAAAGGUUGGACGUUCUUGCCAGCCUGUCUUGCCACAGAACACGGAGGUCGACACACAUAGGGACUUUCCAGUUGUCAAGCAGUGGUUCUGUUCCUUUACCCUUGUGGGUAAUAGUAGGGUAGCUGGAACUUCGAAAUUCUCGUGCCUAAACUUUAUCAGAGAUCUUUGGCAAAGUUAUAUGUGGUACCCGAGGAGUUGAUGGUGCGUGUGGAGAGUGGUGAUUGAACAGUAAGAUUCACGUGCUUUCUACUUCACCAGAAAUCUUCGACAGAUUGCCCGUAAUUUCCGCAAAGCUGAGUGUGCAUGUGACAGGUGCUGACGAGGCUGAAAAAGCAGGUGCUUCUUCGAUUUCUGAGAUCGGCCAUCGUGGUCUCUGAGCAGCUCAGCUUUCGAGAAAGCAAACGCCUCUUCGAUUCCUGAAGCUCCGUCAAGUGUAGAUUUUUAUAGAGGUUGGCAUUAAGUUCCACAGCACACUUGAAUCUCCACCAGUAGAAGCUCCCUUCUUGCACUUCUAAGAUCUUGAUUUGUCUGACCUCUUCCCUCUUCAACACCUUUGAAAAUGUCUGGCCCCUCCGACCGUCGUUUUGACUUGAACCUUGGAGAAGAGACAGCCAUGCCUUCUCCAGACAACAUAUGGCGCCCAUCCUUCAUAUCCCCUACUGGUUCUCUUACCGUUGGGGAUUCUGUGAUGAAGAAUGAUAUGACCGCUGCGGUGGUGGCCAGGAACCUUCUCACUCCCAAAGAUAAUAGACUACUUUCCAAACGGUCUGAUGAGUUGGCUGUUAAGGAUUCUCUGGCUCUUAGUGUUCAGUGUGCAGGUUCUGUGUCUAAUAUGGCCCAACGCCUAUUUGCUAGAACCCGCCAAGUUGAAUCAUUGGCUGCUGAAGUGAUGAGUCUCAAACAGGAUAUUAGAGGGCUCAAGCAUGAGAAUAAACAGUUGCACCGGCUCGCACAUGACUAUGCUACAAACAUGAAGAGGAAGCUUGACCAGAUGAAGGAAGCUGAUGUUCAGGUUUUACUUAAUCAUCAGCGGUUUGUGGGUUUGUUCCAAAGGCAUUUAUUGCCUUCGUCUUUUGGGGCUGUACCGCAUAAUGAAGCUCCAAAUGAUCAACCUCCAAUGCCUCCUCCUUCUGGGGUUCUUUCCAGUACUGAGGCUCCGAAUAACCACCCUCCGGUGCUUUCUCUUUCUGGGGCUCUACCGACUGCUGAGACUUCCCCUAAGCAACCUUUGUGAAGGCUCCCUCUUGUUUGUUUAUUUUGAUUCAUGUAAAUGUACAUAUUUGUAACUUAUCGGGAAUAUCAAUAAACAAGAUUUGCUUCAUUUCAACGUAUUGUGUUAAAUACACCAAGGCCUUCUUCACUAAGUUCUUUGAAUUUUUCCUUUUGUUGAAGCUUGUAUGUUGAAACUUUGUGAGUGAAGCAUGUAGGUUGAGGUAGUGCUCCCUUAAUUUCCCGAGUGAGGAAAACUUCUCGUUUGGAGACUUGAAAAAUCCAAGUCACUAAGUGGUCGUGAGACUUCCGAGUAUCAAGGUGCAGUAGCAUAUGGUAGGAGUCCCCCAAGUCUCUGGUCGAGGGAGUUGACGAUUGAGGCAUUUCCUUUCUAAGUGGUAGCCCAAAACUCCUUCUUCAUAUAUAUUUGUUAUGAAAGUUGUUAGGCCCAAAGAAGAUGAGGCCUAGGCAAUUUUUUUUUAUUUUUGAUUUUUUUUUUUUGAUUUUUUUUUUUUGAAUUUUCAAAUUUCCGGAUUUUUGAAUUUUCGAAUUUCCGAAAAAAAAAAAAAAAAAAAAAAAUAUAUAUAUAUAUAUAUAUAUAUAUAUUUAAAAGCUUUGUUGGUGAAGCUUUGGUGUUGAAGCUUUGUAGGUGAAGCUUUGAGGUUUAAGCUUUGUUGGGCAUCAUGAAUUGAUUUUGCUUCACACUAUCUUGAUGAAGAGUGUGUGAAGCUUUUAUAUGUUUUGGUGUUGAAAUUUUGUAUUGUAGGUGAAGCUUUGGGGUUGAAGCUUGGUAGGUGAAUCUUUGGUGUUGAAGCUUUAUAGGUGAAGCUUUGAUGUUGAAGCUUUAUAGGUGAAGCUUUGGUGUUGAAGGGUUGGAGCUUUAUAGGUGAAGCUUUGGUGUUGAAGCUUUAUAGGUGAAGCUUUGGGGUUGAAGCUUUAUAGGUGAAGCUUUUGUUGGCACCAUAAAUUAAUUUUGCUUCACACUAUCUUGAUGAAGAUCGUGCAAAGCUUUUGAGAUUGAUAUUUGUCCUCCAUUGAUGAAGCUUUUGUUGGCACCAUAAAUUGAUUUUGCUUCACACUAUCUUGAUGAAGAUAGUGCAAAGCUUUUGAGAUUGAUAUUUGUCCUUCAUUGAUGAAGCUUUGUUGAAUUUCCCAAUUUCCAAUUUCCUCUUUUUUUUUGUUUUUUUUUGUUUUUUGGGAAAACUAGAAAUUUGAAAAUGUGGGAGAGACAACGUAUACAAAUUUUGCUUCCAUACUGUUAAGCGAGAGAUUGUGAUGCAAGCCACAUCUUGUAGUAGUCGAAGGUUUGGAUGAACCAUAUAAAUUGAAUUUGCUUCGAACAGUCUUGAUCAAGAGUGUUUGAAGCUUUCUAUGAGUUGUAGUGUUUGCAUUGUUACAGAGGAGAAAUGUCUGAAGCAGAUGCAAGAGGGCUGAAGAGCUUUAUCUUUGUAUACCAUGCACUGAAGCCAUUGUUGGCUUGCAAUAAGACUUUGUUAGUGACUAUAGCUCUUGUUAGGCAUAAGUGCUCCCCUAGUUGAGUUGUAAAGCUUGAUGGUUUUUGAUUAUUUGUGAAUGCUAGGAGUUCACAUAUACAAGUUGUACCACUCGUCUUCUGGUUAAUGGAAUGAAUGGUAGGUUGCUUUCAUCACUUGGUUGGUGGUACGAAUGUGAAUUCCUUAAUCACCUUUCAUCACAUUUCAUCACCUGGUUGGUGACAUGAAGGAGAGUACGCGUUGUACAUUUCAUCACCUGGUUGGUGGCAUGAAGGAAAGUACGCGUUGUACAUUUCAUCACCUGGUUGGUGGCAUGAAGAUGAGUUCCUUCUUCACCUGAUUGGUGAUAAGGGUGGCAAGUUUCCAAAUAAUAUUAGAGUACGGGUUGUACAUUUCAUCACCUAGUUGGUGGUACGAAGGUGAGUUCCUUCAUCACCUAGUUGGUGAGAAUAAGGGCAAGGUGUCGAGGCAUAUUGUGGCAAAUGUCGAAUGACACAAAGUGUGUUGAACCCUUUCGAAGCACAGUUGGCUUAUGUAUGGAUGUGUUGGAAUGUAUGAUGUUUAUGCAUGAAUGUGUUGGAAUGUAUGAUGUUUAUGUAUGAAUGUAUUGGAAUGUAUGAUGUUUAUGUAUGAAUGUGUUGGAAUGUAUGAUGUUUAUGUAUGAAUGUGUUGGAAUGUAUGAUGUUUAUGUAUGAAUGUGUUGGAAUGUAUGAUGUAGAUCCUUUGUAUAGUCUUGUUGACACAUACUUAGAUUUUUGUUUUUGUAUUGGAAACAUUUGCGUUGAAGCUUCAACACUUGAGUGUUUCAUUGCUCAGAAUGGAAAAGAGUUUAUGGCCGAGUUGGCUAAAUCACCUAUUUAUUGAAUUCAUACCAAAUGGUAUUUGUUACAUAGGAUGCCGAACGGCUGUAGCUUAACACUUGUACAAUGUGAGUAUAUUUGUAAUAGUACUUCAAGUGGUCAGCAUUCCAUGGAUGGCCAAGGGUCUUGCCGUCGGAGUUUCUGAGCUUGUAGGAGCCAGGGCGGCUGAUGCCAACGACCUCGAACGGUCCGUCCUAGUUAGGACUGAGUGUUCCUUCACUCGGGACCCUAUCACAGAGUAAUCUUUUCUUCAGUACCCAGUCUCCCAUUUUGAAAGAGCGAGGUUUGACCCUUGAGUCGUAGUAGUUGGAAAUGCGCUGCUUGUAGGCGACAUUCCUCAGGUGAGCCUGAUUUCUGUGUUCCUCGACUAGAUCCAGGUUGAGGGUGAGUUGUUUGUCGUUCUCACUCUGCAUGUAAUUCUGGAUUCGGUAUGUUGCUUGCUCAAGCUCAACCGGGACAACUGCUUCUGUACCAAAAGCAAGUGAGAAUGGAGUUUCUCCUGUGGAAGUCCGAUAUGAAGUGCGGUAUGACCAAAAGAACUUGGGGUACGAAUUCUGGCCAACAAUCUUUAGCUUUGUCCAAGCUAGUUUUCAGAGUGCGUUUGAUUAUUUUGUUAACGGCCUCGACUUGUCCAUUAGACUGGGGAUGGGCUGGAGAGGCAAAACAUAAGUUGAUGUUGAACUUAGAGCAGAACAUCUUGAACUUCUUGUUGUCGAACUGCCGCCCAUUGUCCGUGACUAUCGCAUUGGGAAUGCCGAAUCUACAGAGGAUGUUCUUCCAUACGAAGUCUUCUAUUUUUCCCUCAGUAAUGGUUGCCAAGGGUUCUACUUCAGCCCACUUUGUGAAGUAGUCAACUGCAACGAUUGCAUAGCGGACCUUGCCCUUCCCUGCAAGCAUUGGGCCGAUCAAAUCAAGUCCCCAUUGGGCGAAGGGCCAAGGGCUGAUCAUAGGAGUGAGCGGCUCGAGAGGGGAGUGAGGGAUAGUUGCGUAGCGUUGACACUUAUCACAUGAGCGAGAUAUUCUGAUGGCAUCUUGGUGGAGUGUUGGCCAAUAGUAUCAUUGGCGAAAAGUCUUGUGUGCUAGGGAUCGAAACCCAGCAUGAUCUCCGCAGACUCCUUCAUGUAUUUCCCGAAGGACAAUUUCUGCCUCCGCAGGUGUAAGGCAUCUUAGGUAGGGCAGGGUAAAACCGCGCUUGUAGAGUUGGUCAUUAAUGAUCAGGUAGUGAGCAGACUUGUAUCGAAUCUGCUUAGCUUGGACUUUGUCAUUUGGGAGGGUGCCAUGGGCAAGGAAUUUAUAAAUUGGGGUGAUCCAACUAUCUCCUUGUUGUAAAUUGCACACUUCCGCGACCAUAGUGCUUGGUGCUGCCAACAAUUCGACAUGAAUUUUUCUCCCAAUCUUGUCUUCCACUGCCGAGGCGAGGCGGGCCAAAGCGUCUGCAUGACUGUUUGCCGCUCGAGGAACUUGGGUGAUCUGGUAGUGGAAGUGCUUGAGCAAAAGUCGUGUUUGUGCAAGAUAUGCUGCCAUGGAGCUAUCCUUAGCAUCAAAGUUGUUCGUGACUUGGUUGACCACUAAUUGGGAGUCACUGAAGAUAUCAAUUUGUUUAACUCCAAGAUGCUUGGCCAAACGUAAGCCUGCUAGAAGGGCUUCGUAUUCGGCCUCGUUGUUCGAUGCCUUGAAUUUGAAACGAAGAGCGUAUUCUAUCGCCACUUUGUCAGGGGUAGUGAGGACUAAUCCUGCUUCGCAGCCCUGUUGGUUGGAUGAGCCAUCAACAUACAGACUCCAUGCUGGGGUUGUUGAUUCUAUCUUCUGAGCUUCCGAUGGUAAUGAAGCUAUUGUUUCAGGUGUAGAAGCAAUGUCAACAGGAUAUGUGAAGUCGGCAAUGAAAUCUGCUACUGCUUGACCCUUUUCGGCUGGUUUUGGUUGGUAGGAGAUGUCAAACUCACCCAAUGCUAUCGCCCAUUUGAUCAUUCGCCCAGACGUGUCAGAACUCUAGAGUGUCUGUCGAAGAGGGUGAUUGGUAAGCACGAUGAUGGCGUGUGCUUGGAAAUAAGGGCGAAGUUUUCGAGCAGACAUGACCAAUGCUAGAGCUAAUUUCUCAAUGUUGGAGUAUCGUGUCUCCGCAUCUUGUAGGGCCUUGCUAGCAUAGUAGACGGGCCGUUCGACACCACUGUCAUUUCGAAUAAGAACAGAACUGACUGCUGAAGCCGAAACCGAUAGAUAGAUAAUGAGAGUGUCACCAACUUCUGGUUUGGAGAGCAGAGGGGCUUUACUCAUGUACUAUUUGAGGUUCCUGAAUGCCUUGGCAUAUUCCUCCGUCCAUGUAAUGUACUUCUUAUUUCCCUUGAGUGCUUUGAAGAAAGGAGCACAUCUGUCUGUGGCCUUAGAGAUGAAUCUGGUUAAGGCUGCCACCUUGCCAGUAAGGCUUUGGAUGUCUUUUGAAGUUACUGGCUCUUUCAUGUCGAGGAUUGCUUUGAUCUUUUCGGGGUUAGCUUCAAUGCCUCGUUGGCUAAUCAUGAAGCCUAAGAAUUUGCCAGAGCCCACGCCGAAGGCACAUUUGUUGGGGUUCAACCUCAUUCGAUACCUCUUUAGAAUGGUGAAAGUUUCAGAUAGGUUAGUGAUGUGUUGGUCAGCAUGUUUGCUCUUGACUAACAUAUCAUCAAUGUAAACUUCCAUGCUCUUCCCAAUCUGUUCGGCGAACAUUGAAUUGACCAGUCUCUGAUAAGUUGCUCCUGCAUUCUUUAGACCGAAGGGCAUGACUUUGUAGCAAUAUAGUCCCUUGUCAGUAGUGAAGGCUGUGUGUUCUUGGUCUGAGGGGUUCAUGAGGAUUUGGUUGUAUCCUGAAUAAGCGUCCAUGAAGCUCAAGAGCUCACACCCUGCCGUAGAGUCUAUAAGUCUAUCAAUGAGAGGAAGGGGGAAACUAUCCUUCGGGCAUCCUUUGUUUAGGUCGGUGUAGUCGACACACAUUCUCCACAAGACCUUUUGAAGCAGGAGACUUUCCUUGGUCGGAUUUUUCUUAACAAGGACAACAUUUGCUACCCAUGUUGGGUAAUUGACUUCACGGACGAAGCCUAUGUCCUUGAGUUUUUCAACUUCUACUUUCAUCACCUUGUAUCGUUCAACAUCAUAAGAUCUUCGUUUCUGUUUUACUGGUUUGGUCUUGGGAUCAAUACUCAAGUGGUGACAGAUGAUAUCGGGGAGAGAUGCCCGGCAUAUCUUUAUAUGACCAAGCGAAGACCUCGGUGUUCUCUUGCAAAAAGGAGAUCAGCGACAACCGAAGGGGUGGUGACAAAGUGGUGCCAAUCUUCACCAUGCGAUCUGGAUGGUCUUUAGAGAUAGAGACAUUCUCUAACUCUUCAGCGGGUUGUGCUUGCUGGGUGAAUGAGUUAUCUCGAGGGUCGUCGGGUUGACUGUUGCCAUCAUGAAGAUCCGAGUUGGCUUCAUCUGGACUGGUCUUUACUACCUGGUUGUGUAUAGAGAGGGUCUCCUUGGGGAUAGGCAGGUGUUGUUGCUUAACUGAAAUGUUGUAACAUGAUCGAGCACUAAGUUGAUCUCCCUUGAUGUAUCCAUUGCCGAAAGGGGUUGGAAACUUCAUCAACAACAUAUGUGUGGAUACCAUGACCUUGAGAUCAUUGAUGCCUGUGCGCCCAAAGAUGACAUUGUAUGCCGUCGGGCAAUUGACCACUAGGAAGUUAGUGGUAAUAGUAGCUGUGUAGGGGCCUGUACCAAUGGUGAAGGGUAAGUGUAUACUCCCUAAAGGUUGCACGAUAUCGCCAGAGAAGCUUAUCAGAGGAGAAAUCGAGCUAUCGAGCAAGUGUUCAGCUACAUUAAGUGCCUUGAAAGCUUCAACAAACAUGAUAUUGACUGAAGCACCUGUGUCUAUCAGGAUUCGUUUCACAUCAAAAUUUGCUAUGUGAGCCUCCACGAUCAGCGGGUCGUUGUGAGGGUAGAUGAUACCUCUUUCUUCCUCAGGGUAGAAACAUAUUGGAUCCCAGUUAGGCUUUUGAUACUUGCCUCCCUUGAUGUCUUCCACGUGAAACACUUGAUGGCCAGGUCUCAAAGUUCGUUCACUGUUUUUCAUGGCCCUAUUGGAAGAUUCAGACAUAGGUGUGCUGCCGCUUAUAGAAUAUAUCACAUUCACCUGGCGUUGGUUACGGUUAUCCCUUGGAGGGUGAAGGAGGAACUGAUCAAUUUUUCCUUCACGUGCCAAAGCUUCAAUAUGAUCACGGAGGAUGACGCACUCCUCGCCAUCAUGGCCAUUAUACUCGUGGUAGCAGCAAAACAUGCCCGUGUUUUUCGUGGACUUGUAAUCUGGCUGUCUUGGCUUUGGCUUUGGUAUCAGAUGAGCUAUACUGGGGUAUAUGGCCGCGCAUGUAGCGUUCAAAGGUGUGUAUGUCUCAUACCUCGGGGUAGGGCCUGUCUUGACACGUGAUUGGCCCACUGCAUUGACUGCUUGGGGACGGGCGUUAUUGUGACGAUAUCCUGAGUUAUCGUGAUAGUGCCCCUUAUUCUUUUUAUUAAAAUGAGAUUGGUGAGGAUGGAAAUCUUUCCUUUUGCCCUGUGAUUGAUAUGUCUGCUGACUUGGCGAAGCAUUAAAUGAGGCAGGGGGGUGUGCUGCUACUGUUUGCAAGGUUGAGGUCUUCUCAUUCGGUUGGAUCUGGCCUCCACUCCCUACUUGCUGAUAAGGGGUGACUGUAGGGGGUUUCCCUUGAUAUGUCAUUGCCUCGGCGGAGGCAUGGUUGUAAGCUUGUGCCAUCACCUCAGAGUAAGUCUUCCAAGUGUUGGCAUUUCAUGUACUUGAAGAAACAGUCACGUAAGCCUGCCGUGAAGGCCUUGAGGGCGGUCUUGUCAUCUGCCUCAGCGCAACGAGAAUACUCAUGGCUGAAGCGGCCAGCAUACUUUCGUAAUGACUCGUCCGGCUUCUGGCGAAUAGUGUACAAGUCAUCUGCGGAAUGUAAGCGAUCGGUCUGGAAGAUGUGUUGAGAGACAAACAACUUCCUCAACUCUUCAAAUGAGUCUACCGUCUCGGGUGGAAGACGGCAAUACCAGUUUAAAGCUCCGCCAGAGAGGGUGGAGGGGAAGAGAAGACACCGUUCUUCAUCGGUGUGUCUCCGGUAUACCAUGGUGGACUCAAAGAGGUUAAGGUGUUCAAUCGGGUCUUCCCUUCCAGUAUAGAGUUGUAAGUCAAUCUUCUGCUUUGUCUUCACUUGGAGGGGGUGUUGAGGAUCCUUUUUGUGAGGGGCCCAGGCCUGGGUUGGUUCCAGUCAGGUAUCUCGGCUUGACGUUCAGCCUUCAACUUGUUUACUUCCUCCAGGAGCUGUAGGACGAGGGGGUCCUGAGUGGAGUCGUGCAUCACUGAAGUUUUCUUCCGUAAGUCCGCAUCGCCUCUUAGAAGUAGGAAAGUUUGAUCAAGAUAGCAUGAUUUUUCCUUGGACUCGUCAUACUGACUCCUAGAGUGAGUAUGUCGGAACAUUUCCGAGUCCCCUGUACCUUCAUGUUCUUCUGGGACUUGUUGCCCAUUCCCUAGAUUAACUGCUGGCCUGGGUCGUGGGAGAGGACCGAGUCUUUCAGAAACUCUUGGGUCAUUGAUCUUCGAGCUUAUGUGGAUGGGAUUCUCCCGACGUUGCUUUAGGAAGUCUCGACAAUCGCGAUAGAUGGCUUUUGAUCCUUCCACUCCUUAUGUGAAGAGGUGCUUUCCUCUACUCCUUCUACUUCGGGUUGAAGCAGCUGGGUUGAGAGAGGUCUCAUGUGGAUUAUCACAUUGAUGUGUAGCUCGAUCCCUAUCAGGGAUGUCCGUGUUGGAUAUCGGUGACCCUCCGUGUUGGGGGGCAUUCAGAUGAUUGUUGACCUCAGCAUGGGCGACGAGCUUGUGUGCUUGAGCAUGCCUAGCCUCGUGAAGCAUCUCAAAAAGUUUUUUAUACUGCUCCUGGAUGACCUCGUUCCUUAUCACUAUCUUGUUGUUCUGAGCUUCUAACUCAUCGACUUUAGCUUGAAGAGUAACUCUAUUUCCUUCCUGUUUUCGUUGCUUCAUACUAGGUCCAAUGGUGGUGUCAUUCUGUGUGCUAUGGCUUCUUUCGCUCCCCAUGUUGGAGAGAGAUGUUUGGCCAAAAGAAAGUGUACGAGUGGUGGAAACCAGCUUGACAGAGCUGAAGAGAGUGGGAAUAAGUGUCGAUUUCCCACAGACGGCGCCAAAUGUUGAUGCACAAAAUCAACGAGGACUUUGGUACAACAGAAAGUGUCAGGUUUGUGACCUUCGCUUGGUUGCUUCGAUCACUAGUGAAGAUAAGUACGUAAAUGAAUAAGGACAGGGAAGCAAACACAAGAUGUACGUGGUUCACCCAGAUCGGCUACGUCCACGGAGUAGAGGAGUUCUCAUUAAUUGUGAAGGGUUUACACAAAUACAUAGGUUCAAGCUCUCAUUUUGUGAGUUCUAGUGAAUAGUUUAGUACAAAAUGACAUUAGAGAUUAUUGUGGGAGAAUGAUCCCUAUUUAUAGAGGAGAGUUUCUAGUUUUGUUCUAACAUUGACACGUGUCGUGUUGUGAUUGACUUCUGAUGUUGACACGUGUCGAGCUGUGAUUGGCUUAUGAUGUCGACACGUGUCGCAUUAUGAUUGGCCUCCUGGUUGAAGGGAAGCUCUUCUGGGUCCUUGAUGGUAUAACGUUGACCGGUGCUCAGUAGUUUCGGGAUUGGUCAAGUAUGGUACAAACAAGGUGUAAUGACUAAUUUUUAGUACUAAUAACAAUUGUCUAAAACUAUCAUAAACUCUAAUGACAUUAAGCAUCUAAUU